UGUGGCACGUUUAGGGACGCUUUUGCGGUGCCGGGGAGGAAGGAGGAAGGGGCGCGGCGAGGGGAGGCGAGGGCGGUCCGCGCCCGGGCCCCGCGCGGGGCGGCCUUUUGUUCGCCAGCUCCCCGAGCAGCGCUUCUCGUCCUCGCCCUCCUCCCGUUGUAAAGCGCCUCGUGGGGCGGGAAGCGACCGUGAAUCACCGCCCGCGUCGCCAGCCCCCCUCCCCCCGGAGCCCCCCGACGCGGCGCCGCCGAGGGAGGGGCCCAGCCCGAGGAGGGGGCCGCAGGCGAGCUCCCGGGGGCCGGCUCGGCCCCGCCGCACGCGCCCCGCGCGCCGCACCACCUGCCCUCCAACGGCCCCGCGGGCGCAGGAAAUCCCCCCGAAAAGCCCGGACCCCGCGUGCGUAACGGCGGAGCGCCCCGGCCCCGCGCGGCCCGGACCCCGCAGCCAGAUCCCGGCGGCGCUCGGCCGCCGCGCACACGCCCGCCGGCUGAGCCACGGCCCCGCACAGGUCCUGUCCUCUCUGUAUAAACAAGAAAGUGGGUUCAAAGAGGCGGAAUUGGCUCUGUUCGCUCCAGACAGAACACAGUGCAAGGGGGGGAGCCUGGAAGUGAUUCCUGAAAAUCUAUGCUCAAGUCUUUUAAACCGUGACACUGCGGCCUUUUGCGAGCAGACACUCUUGGUCCUCGGGUUGAGAAGGAGCUUCAGCCCUCAUCUGGAUAUGAGUUGACAACCUAGAAGGAGAGUGUAUAUGUAACAGAAUCAUCAAUCACUAACAGAAGAAACAUUCUGAGGCCCACUUUCCCAGAAGUUGCCCAAGGAAUAUUCAUGGUUCCCUUGAAGACAUAAGUAGCAAGCCACCAGAAGAACUAGACUGGCUGUGUGAAUUUUCCCCUCACAACACCUGGAGUACAACCAAGUCUGGCUAGCAUUUGAAAUGGAUUUCACCGCCACAAAAUCACUUCUAUGGAGUAGAGGUUAAAGAUGGCGUCUGCCACCUGGAGGCAGAUCGCAGCCUAGGCAAGAAAGCCUUCCUGUCGGAGGCUUCUGGUUGGAGAUGAAUAAACGAUCUUGUUUGAGUCA
rnacentral:lncRNA from 12 species